AAAACUUUCAACAACGGAUCUCUUGGCUCUGGCAUCGAUGAAGAACGCAGCGAAAUGCGAUAAGUAAUGUGAAUUGCAGAAUUCAGUGAAUCAUCGAAUCUUUGAACGCACAUUGCGCCCGCCAGUAUUCUGGCGGGCAUGCCUGUUCGAGCGUCAUUACAACCCUCAGGCCCCCGGGCCUGGCGUUGGGGAUCGGCGGAAGCCCCCUGCGGGCACAACGCCGUCCCCCAAAUACAGUGGCGGUCCCGCCGCAGCUUCCAUUGCGUAGUAGCUAACACCUCGCAACUGGAGAGCGGUGCGGCCACGCCGUAAAACACCCAACUUCUGAAUGUUGACCUCGAAUCAGGUAGGAAUACCCGCUGAACUUAAGCAUAUCAAUAAGCGGAGGAAAAGAAACCAACAGGGAUUGCCCCAGUAACGGCGAGUGAAGCGGCAACAGCUCAAAUUUGAAAUCUGGCUCUCGGGCCCGAGUUGUAAUUUGUAGAGGAUGCUUUUGGUGAGGUGCCUUCCGAGUUCCCUGGAACGGGACGCCAUAGAGGGUGAGAGCCCCGUCUGGUUGGACACCGAUCCUCUGUAAAGCUCCUUCGACGAGUCGAGUAGUUUGGGAAUGCUGCUCUAAAUGGGAGGUAUAUGUCUUCUAAAGCUAAAUACCGGCCAGAGACCGAUAGCGCACAAGUAGAGUGAUCGAAAGAUGAAAAGAACUUUGAAAAGAGAGUUAAAAAGUACGUGAAAUUGUUGAAAGGGAAGCGCUUGUGACCAGACUUGGGCUUGGUUGAUCAUCCGGGGUUCUCCCCGGUGCACUCUUCCGGCUCAGGCCAGCAUCAGUUCGCCCUGGGGGAUAAAGGCUUCGGGAAUGUGGCUCUCUCCGGGGAGUGUUAUAGCCCGCUGCGUAAUACCCUGUGGCGGACUGAGGUUCGCGCAUUCGCAAGGAUGCUGGCGUAAUGGUCAUCAGUGACCCGUCUUGAAACACGGACC
rnacentral:rRNA from 1 species